rnacentral:rRNA from 1 species
UACGUAGGGUGCGAGCGUUGUCCGGAUUUAUUGGGCGUAAAGGGCUCGUAGGCGGCGUGUCGCGUCGGGAGUGAAAAGCCCGUUGCUUAACGGGACAAUGGCCUUCGAUACUGGCGGCCUGGAGGGAGGUAGGGGCAUGCGGGAACUUCCGGUGGAGCGGUGAAAUGCGUAGAUAUCGGAAGGAACACCGAUGGCGAAAGCAGCGUGCUGGACGGACACUGACGCUGAGACGCGAAAGCGUGGGGAGCAAACAGG